rnacentral:rRNA from 1 species
UGGGGAAUUUUGGACAAUGGACGCAAGCCUGAUCCAGCAAUGCCGCGUGCAGGAUGAAGGCCUUCGGGUUGUAAACUGCUUUUGUACGGAGCGAAAAGGUCUGCCCUAAUACGGUGGGCUCAUGACGGUACCGUAAGAAUAAGCACCGGCUAACUACGUGCCAGCAGCCGCGGUAAUACGUAGGGUGCGAGCGUUAAUCGGAAUUACUGGGCGUAAAGCGUGCGCAGGCGGUUAUAUAAGACAGAUGUGAAAUCCCCGGGCUCAACCUGGGACCUGCAUUUGUGACUGUAUAGCUAGAGUACGGUAGAGGGGGAUGGAAUUCCGCGUGUAGCAGUGAAAUGCGUAGAUAUGCGGAGGAACACCGGUGGCGAAGGCAAUCCCCUGGACCUGUACUGACGCUCAUGCACGAAAGCGUGGGGAGCAAACA